GAAUCCUACGGGACGCAGCAGUGAGGAAUAUUGGUCAAUGGGCGGAAGCCUGAACCAGCCAAGUCGCGUGAGGGAAUAAGGCCCUACGGGUCGUAAACCUCUUUUGCCGGGGAGCAAGGGCGGGGACGUGUCCCGGCCCGGGGAGUACCCGGAGAAAAAGCAUCGGCUAACUCCGUGCCAGCAGCCGCGGUAAUACGGAGGAUGCGAGCGUUAUCCGGCUUUAUUGGGUUUAAAGGGUGCGUAGGGGGGCUUUUAAGUCAGCGGUAAAAAUUCGG
rnacentral:rRNA from 1 species